UACAGAGGGGGCAAGCGUUGUUCGGAAUUACUGGGCGUAAAGGGCGCGUAGGCGGCCCGCUAAGUCGAACGUGAAAUUCCCGAGCUCAACUCGGGAACUGCCUCAGAUACUGACGGCCUCGAGGGAGGUAGGGGCGUGCGGAACUGUAGGUGGAGCGGUGAAAAUGCGUUGAUAUCUACAGGAACUCCGGUGGCGAAGGCGGCGCGCUGGACCUCUUCUGACGCUGAGGCGCGAAAGCCAGGGGAGCAAACGGG
rnacentral:rRNA from 1 species